GAUGAACGCUGGCGGUAUGCCUAAUACAUGCAAGUCGAGCGACAACACGAGAAGAUCUUUCUCUUGCCGUUGGCGGCUGACGGGUGGGUAACAAAUGCAUCGGCUACUACUUUUUCUGGGGGGAUAACGGAAGACAACUUACGCUAAUACCGCAUAUGUCCUACCGGUUGAAGCAGUAGAGCUUCAGACCUUUCCCGACUCAAUUAGACGGUGUCGGAUUAGCUAGUUGGGUGGGUAAAGGCCCACCAAGGCGACGAUCCGUAGCGGGUCUGAGAGGAUGAUCGGCCACACUGGAACUGAGACACGGUCCAGACUCCUACGGGAGGCAGCAGUGGGGAAUCUUGGACAAUGGGCGCAAGCCUGAUCGAGCAAUACCGCGUGGGUGAAGAAGGCCUUCGGGUUGUAAAGCCCUUUUGUUGGGAAAGAAAAGAAGCAGAUUAAUCCACGGCUGUUCUGACGGUACCCAAAGAAUAAGCCCCGGCUAACUUCGUG
rnacentral:rRNA from 1 species